rnacentral:rRNA from 1 species
GAUGAACGCUGGCGGCGUGCCUAACACAUGCAAGUCGAACGGAGUUGUCACCAUUGAAGUUUUCGGAUGGAUUGGUAACAACUUAGUGGCGGACGGGUGAGUAACGCGUGGGUAACCUGCCUCAUACUGGGGGAUAACAGCUGGAAACGGCUGCUAAAACCGCAUAAGAUCGCAUCACCGCAUGGUGAGGCGGUUAAAUAUCGAAAGAUAGGUAUGAGAUGGGCCCGCGUCUGAUUAGCUAGUUGGUGAGAUAAGAGCCCACCAAGGCGACGAUCAGUAGCCGGCUUGAGAGAGUGACCGGCCACAUUGGGACUGAGACACGGCCCAAACCCCUACGGGAGGCAGCAGUGGGGAAUAUUGCACAAUGGGGGAAACCCUGAUGCAGCGACGCCGCGUGAGUGAAGAAGUGCUUCGGCAUGUAAAGCUCUAUCAGCAGGGAAGAAGAUGACGGUACCUGACUAAGAAGCCCCGGCUAACUACGUG